rnacentral:tRNA from 3 species
UGCCCAGGUAGCUCAGUUGGUAGAGCAGGGGAUUGAAAAUCCCCGUGUCGGCGGUUCGAUUCCGUCCCUGGGCACC